GAUACGUAAUGUGAAUUGCAGAUAUUCAGUGAAUCAUCGAAUCUUUGAACGCACCUUGCGCCCCUUGNNAUUCCGAGGGGCACACCCGUUUGAGUGUCGUGAAAUUCUCAAAACCCUUUCUUUUUGGUCUUUCGAUCGAAGAAAGGCUUUUGGACUUGGAGGCUUUUUGCUGGUUUCACCUUGAAGCGAGCUCCUCCUAAAUGAAUCAGUGGGGUCCGCUUUGCUGAUCCUUGACGUGAUAAGAUGUUUUCUACGUCCUGGGUUUUGGCACUGUCCCUUGGGCACCUGCUUCAAACCGUCUCAUUGACAACGAUGGU
rnacentral:rRNA from 1 species